AUGCCUCAUUAGCGGCGAGUGAAGCGGCAGAGCUCAGAUUUGAAAUCGUGCUUUGCGGCACGAGUUGUAGAUUGCAGGUUGGAGUCUGUGUGGAAGGCGGUGUCCAAGUCCCUUGGAACAGGGCGCCCAGGAGGGUGAGAGCCCCGUGGGAUGCCGGCGGAAGCAGUGAGGCCCUUCUGACGAGUCGAGUUGUUUGGGAAUGCAGCUCCAAGCGGGUGAGUAAAAUU
rnacentral:rRNA from 1 species